rnacentral:lncRNA from 1 species
UUUGUUAUAUUCAUUUUUUUUCUUCUCUUUUCAAAACAUUCCAUCAUCUUCUCCAAACUCACAAAAACCUACAACUCCUCGUCCAUUUUUGAGCUCCUUUAAGGUUUCCUUUCUCAAAAUGGCCAACUAAUAACUUACUCUAUUCUUAGAGAGAAAGAUAAAGAUCUUUGGAUCACAAGUUAGAUAGCUAUUUCUCCCUUCUUUUCUCUCAAACUCGUAUACAUGAAUGGUAUAGUAAAAGAGUGAUUUUUUUUUUUAUAUGGUUAAGUUUCGAUCUUGUUUUGUUAUCACUUUUAUAGUUGUUAUUAGUGUUUAGGAAGUUAAAGGAGACAUUUUCAACUCAUUUUCUUUUCAGAAAUCAAAAUCCUAAGUAAGGAAGUAAAAUGAAAAUGUUUUUUUUUUACUUCGUUAAUGUUGAAAUAAAGGUGUUAGUAACUUGAAUAACAAGAAAUUAGACAAAACCCCCUCAAACUUUUGAAAAGGGAUGAUUUGUAUGUGUCAAGACGUGACAAUUUGAUUUUUAAUUUUGUUUGAGUAAUGUAAUAAGUUGUGUUUAAAUAAAUGAGUUUGAACGGAAGUAAGAAAUUUUGUCAAAAGAAUUUGAGUAUUAGAGUUUUGAAGAAAAAUUUAUUUUAUAUAUUUUUGGACUAAAAUAAUAUUGGGUUAGUAACGUAUAGGGAACAAGGGCUGAAAAAAUUUGGUUAGAAAAGUGAUAGUUUAUGUUAUGUGUUAUUCGAUUAAAUCCU